CAAUAGCGUAUAUUUAAGUUGUUGCAGUUAAAAAGCUCGUAGUUGGAUUUCGGGUGGGACGCAGCGGUCUCGCAUUGCGUUUGUACUGCUGCAGCCCUCCUUCUUGCCGGGGGCGGCCUCUCGGACUUCACUGUCUGGGGGUCAGAAUCGGCGAUGUUACUUUGAGUAAAUUAGAGUGUUCAAAGCAAGCUUACGCUCUGAAUAUAAUAGCAUGGGAUAACAAGACAGGACUCUGGCCUAUCGUGUUGGUCUAUAGGACCAGAGUAAUGAUUAAGAGGGACAGUCGGGGGCAUUCGUAUUCCGUUGUCAGAGGUGAAAUUCUUGGAUUUACGGAAGACGAACAUCUGCGAAAGCAUUUGCCAAGGAUGUUUUCAUUGA
rnacentral:rRNA from 1 species